GUCUCCUCCUCCGCCGCCUCCCGGUUCCGCAGUCACUUCCUGCAGCUGUUUCCCUGUGGGUCCGGUCGGACUGAGUUUUGACAGUCAGCCUCCAGCAGCCAAGGGGGUUCUGCGGGGCCAGCCGCGAAAGUUGCUCGGAGGCAGGCGGAGUUGAACCAGGCCAAGCCGGGCGCCCAGGACAGACGGCGGCAGACUUCCCGGGCGGACGCGGCGCAGACUCUCCGCGGCGCGUCCCGGGGGUUCCGGCGUGCAGCUGCCUUGGCCCUGGCGCUUGCCCCAGCCCCGUGGGAGACCGGGGAUUCCAUCUUUCGUGAUGGCAUGCUUACGGAAUUGAGAUUUGAAGACCCAACUUCUUGUCACCCACUGGAUUAUGCCCAAGGCUUUCCUACCCAAUGAUCCUCUUGCAACACGCCGGGCUUCCUCUGCCUAAGCGGCCCUCAUCCUCUCCUCCUAUGUCAGUGGCCGCCAGGUCUACAGGAACCUUGCAGCUUCCACCGCAGAAGGCUUUUGGGCAGGAGGCUUCCUUGCCUCUGGCCGGGGAAGAAGAGUUACCUAAGGGAGGGGAGCAAGACUCUGCCCUGGAGGAGCUGUGUAAGCCCCUGUACUGCAAGCUCUGCAAUGUCACCUUGAACUCAGCACAGCAAGCCCAGGCUCAUUAUCAGGGUAAAAAUCAUGGUAAGAAACUUCGAAAUUACUAUGCAGCGAACAGCUGUCCUCCUCCUGCUAGAGUGAGUAACGCAGUGGAACCUGUGGCGACUCCAGCUGUUCCAGUCCCUCCGCAGAUGGGCUCCUUUAAGCCAGGAGGCAGAGUGAUCCUGGCCACAGAGAAUGAUUACUGUAAGCUCUGUGACGCCUCCUUCAGUUCUCCGGCGGUGGCUCAGGCUCACUACCAGGGGAAGAACCACGCCAAGAGGCUGCGGCUGGCCGAAGCUCAGAGCAACUCGUUCUCAGAGCCCUCAGACAUCGGUCAGCGGCGGACCCGGAAGGAAGGGAAUGAAUACAAGAUGAUGUCUAAUAGGAGAAAUGUGUAUGCAGUACAGAAUAAUUCAGCAGGUCCUUACUUCAAUCCCCGCUCUCGGCAGAGAAUUCCACGUGAUCUUGCCAUGUGCGUUACUCCAAGUGGCCAGUUUUACUGCUCCAUGUGUAACGUUGGGGCUGGUGAAGAAGUGGAGUUCCGGCAGCAUUUGGAGAGCAAGCAACAUAAAAGCAAGGUGUCUGAACAGCGGUACAGGAAUGAGAUGGAGAAUCUGGGCUACGUAUAAUGAUUGUCAUAUUCAAGUAGAGAGCUUGUCCUGCCUGUGGUUUGCCUUCUGUCAACAUGCCCUGCUUUGUGAUUCUUUUGAUAUGAGUACAUUUCUCUGCCUAAUGUUAAUACAUGUAACCUUGCAGUGGUACCAUGAGGGGUCAAAACUGGAGAAUGAAGAGAACGUACUUAAGUCAUGAUGUUUUUUCAGUUUGUUGACUGUCCUGAAAAAUACCAUGACCUUACUGUUUCCCAGAUGCAGAGGAAUUUUUUUUAAGUUAGUCAAAUUUCAGUAUCAUCAUUUCUAAUAGAAAAAUACAUGAACUUUGGCUUUAUCCUUUAUGAUUCAGCUUCCUUGAAGAUAAUGAAAAUAUAUUAUAGAUUACUUUCAUAUCUAAUAAUUACAACAGUAUUAUUAUUUUUGUUCUGUUUUUUUAAAAAUAGCUCUAGUGUUAUACUUAGAUUAACUAAUAGAGGACUCUCUGAACUUUCAUUAACUGUAUUUACCUAUUUACUGUAUUGACGUGGAUAAGACCGUAAGUUCAUCUCUACUUUUUUGAAAGGUCACGUUCACCAGGAACUUUAUAUUGAGCAGUAUCUUUGCACUAUGGUAAAUUCACUUUUUAUUGCUUAUAUUACUAAUUAAAAAUAAAACUCCUAAUCUUCCUUGAGAAUUCUAUAGGCAAAGAGUUGGGGAGAAGGAAAAUUAUAAUCAUCAUUCCUUUCCUUUAGAACUUCUGAACAAUUUUUGAACAAUCUAGACCCAUAUUUAAAAUUCAGUUUUGCAAUUAACCUCUGGUACACUAACAAGUUACUGUUCCAUUGAAGUGGUGGUUUUUUGAAAAGCAGAAUUGUUUAGUAAUUUUAUUUUCUCCCAGAAACAAAAGAAUGAAAUAAUGUUCUGUUGAAUUCUCGCUACAUCUGUGACUCUUAGUAUGAUAACCCUUUUUCCAGUAAUCUGUGAAGUAUAAUUGAUUAUUUUAGGGCAAUUUAGAGCUUAUCUUAUUGGUCAGUAGUUUACUCAUUUUGCUGCUAAGUAUACUUUUUUGGUAGAUUUUAAUAUUACAGUGCUGGCCACAUGGCUCUAUGAUUAUUUAAAAACCUCACUUUCCCUCCUCUCUUUGUAUGUAUAUGUAUGUGUGUAUAUAUAUAUGUAUUUAUAUACAUAUACACACACACACAUAUAUAACUGUGUAUAUAUAAUUUUGUGUGAUACCAUAGAGAAAAUUUCAUCAAAUCUUUAUUUCAGAUAAUAGUAAAAGAUUGUGGAUAAGAACUUACAUUUUGUGAAAGUGGCAUUCAUCCACUUUCAGUUUUUCCUUAGCAAAUAAAAUUAGAGGAAAGAUUUGCCCUACUCUCCCCACUUAACAAUUUCAUAUAUAAAUACACACACACACACACACAAAGCAGUGGACUUAAGGCCUUGAAGGUUAUCCUGGCCUUGCAUAUUCAGGUUUCUAGUCUCUCAGUGCCCUUAAUGGAUGUUAUGAAUGCAUAAACGCAUUUUCUUUUAAAGAAGAAAGUUAGAUUUAUAGCGUUAUUUCUUACUUGUUAUAUUUCUUUGCACUAAAAAAGAGCUAUGUGUUUGUUUUAUAUGACACUUUAAAUACCAUAUUGCCUACAAUAGCUCAGUUUGCUCCUUAAUUUCUAGGAAGUUGAUAACUUCCAGGAUCAUUUAUAGAGAUUAUAUACACAUCCCCUCCCCCCCAUAAAAAUCACAGAUCUCUGUGAUAAUGGGUUGUGUUUUGGGCUUGUUACCUUGCAAUAGUCUCCUGUGUUCCUUGAGUGAAACAAAAGGUGACAGAGAUGUCACAAAGGAAACGCCUAAAUAAAUCCAUCUCUGCAUGGUACAGUUUCUCAUACUCAUGCAUUCCUUAAAGACAGUGUUUUUCCCUGUCAAAGAAGACUGUGGUUACUACUGCAGUCAGUGAUAUGUGAUCUCCAUUGAUUUCAUUUUGUGAAAUUGAGUCCUGUUCUGUAAUGUGCUUUAAAAUUUGCAGCCUGUGCUCCCCAGGAAUGAUACUAGUAUCUUUUUUAUGUUGUGUACAAGGAUGGACAAGAGGCCUAAUCAACGGAAAACCUUUAGCCAAAUAAGUCAAAUAGAUUUCAGUAUUCAUCUGCAAGAACGCAUAGCAUCAAAGUCUCUUUUCCCUGUGACUAUCUGUGUGUAAGUUGUCAUUUCAAAACUCAAUGUUAGAAGAUAACAAUUAGAAACUCUUCGAAGAUAUUGAGGGCAAGAAAUUGUAAAGGAAAAAAUUCAGUGUUCCAAUUAAAAGAUUGGAUUGCUUAUGCCUUCAAAGUGGUUUUUUUUUAAAGUUCAGCUGCACAACUGAGUGUGCCAGGUAAUCCUUUAGACUCUACGUUGAACAGAAAAUACUUUAUUGGUCUCAUCUUUGUGUAUCAUGUAUUACAACUUGUAAAUAUGUGCAUGUUGUUUAGGACAUUUGUCUGCUUGUCUCUUAUUGCACUGAAUUCUGCAAGGUGAAUAGUUGUUUUAUACCAUUCAUUUUGAAAAAGUUCCUCCUCCAACUCUUCCUCUCUAUUUCCCCAUUUCAUUAGUUGGUGAGCCUAGAAAACUGUUUAGAGUUUUUGAAACCCUGAGACUGGAUGAAGAAUCAUGGCAAUCUGAGACCAUCCUUAUGUCCCUCUGACUUAAACAGCUAAAAGGAAAGCAUGACAUUGUCCACCUUACUUUACAAAGCUCUUCUGCAAAACUGUGUGCUUGCUUAUGGCUACCUAUCUGUACUUUGAACAAAGAUAAAUGGAUAUGUGUGUCUAUACCUGGUUAAAUCUUCCUCCGCAGAUAGAUUCUAAGGAUUAGUGGUGGGAUUAAUGAUUGCUUCACUCCUGAAUUGGCUGGGACUGUGAGCAAUGACAGUUUGAGGACUGUCCAGUGACCCAUAUAAAAUGAGUCUCGCUUGUCCAGGGGAGACAUGUAACUGUUCUGCAUAGUAUCCUCUACACACGGGCUUAGGAGUGAUGGAUUUGGAACCUAAUGUGUUUAGUUUCCUCAGUGUCAGAACAUAGGCUGGGAGUACUUUCUAAAAAAUUUGGUGGCACAUAUACUAAAGACAACAGAGGUGCUUUAGAAAUAGAGAAAUGUUUUGUUAGUAUAGGUAAAAAUUUAGUGUGGGCCUCUGAAUAGUUAUUUUGAAAAUAUUCCACCCUACCAAAUUUUUUUUUUUUACAGCCAAGUCACCAUUCAGGAGUUUCAUACAUAGUAAAGAAUGCUUAAGAAUGCUUUGUUUUUGCUUUAGGGCUUUUUUUUUGGCAGUGAACUCCAUUGUGAGCUAUUACUAUCAAUCUAACUGAAUGGACAAAUAGCUGUGUAAAUAGCUUCUCAUACGACAUUUCUACUGAUAACUGACUGUGUCUUCCCGUUAUGAAUGGGAGGAUCAUUUAUCAACUCCCUUUCUGAGUGGCUACCAAAAAAACACUGGCUUAUGGUCCCAUGUGACCCUGUCUCCGUUAAGCCCAGAAUAUGAGUGCCUUUAGCAAGUUUUAGCAUUUCACAGAGAGAUGAUAGAGUUAUUGCCAUUAAUCACAAUUCAUAAAACAGGAGCUUGGGAUAGCAAAGGUUUGUGUGAAUUCUAUGUUCUACAUCUUUUUUGUUUCUUCAUGCAAUCUCAAUUUGAUAUUGAGUAAAACUCUUAAUACUUAGUAAUUGUGCUAGUUCAUCUCUAUAUUAAAAACAGGCAUCUUCACAAAUCAGGUUCAAGAUAUUUUAAAGCAAAAUAUUCCCACUUAAUUUAAAAUUCUAAAUUGCCUGAGUACUUUGAAUUUUUAAAACACACUGCUAAAUUAAUUUUAUUGUAGAAAUACUAACAUUUUCCUCAACAUUUUAUUAUGAAAAAUUUAAAACAUCCAUUAGAGUUGAAAAAUUUUACAGUAUACCCACCGCUAGGUUUUACCGUCAACAUUUUAUUGUACUUGCAUUCCUGCAUUUCUGUCUGAACCUAUAUUCACCCAUCAAACAAUGGAGUGUUUAAAAAUACACAUUUUAAUGUAAAUUUCAGAUGUUAUUUUUCCCUUAAACAGUUCAGCAUAGGUGUUAUUAACUAGAGUUUAACAUUUGUUUGAAUAUUAAAAUCUUUUAAAAAGCAGUGUGUGAAGUUGAUAACCUGAGCCAAUUAACAUAGGUCUUUGUCUCUUGUGGACUCUGGCUUUCCAGUUUCUGUUUUUGUAUGUGCUUCAAGUGAGGGGAGACUCCUUUUCAAACUGAAGUUUUCUAGUGUUGGUCAUUUUAAAUGCUUCAUUGUCAUACAUUUUAAAGCUUCACGAUAAGAAUUUUUUCUUAACCCCUCCUCUUAUGAUGUAUUUUUGCUGAACUAUGCAGCUUCUUUAAAAAAAAAACUGUAAAUGACCAGUUAGGGUUUAUUAAAUCAGCUUAUACCUCAUUUCAAUCUAUGGCUGCUUUUUCCUUGGUGUCCUUUCUCCUUUUACUGCUUUCACCUGUUCUACUGGGAAGUAGAGAUGCGUGAAGAGUCAACCCCACAGAUGAUUAGCUGUAUUAAACAACUCUAGAACUGAUUAAGUAGUUGAGAAAGUUGAAACCAUUAAUUUAUCCAAAGCCUUUGAAUUCCUUCAGAAUUCUAACUGCCCAUGCCCUCUCUCCAGCCAUAAUUAGCAGGAUUAAAAAUGAUUGUACUGUACACUGAGUUGUUGAAAUUGUGAGCCUUAGUAACCAUCUUUAGCUUUACUCUAGUCCUGUUUAGGAAAAAAAAAUUGACAUAUACCUUUAUUUUUAUGCCUUUUUUUUUGUGUAUGUGGACAAAAUGUGAAGAAUUUAAGUGACUUGUUGGGAAGAUUCAGUGGGUAAGUCAGAACUGAAACUUCAGUAUUCCUGAUUCAUAUUCUUGUGCUUGUUUAAUAAGAUUCAUGGCUUUCAAAAUAACUGAACACUUCCUUUGGGACCCUUAAAGUGAAAAUGUGUAUUUUUACUAAUUAGACUUUUAUUUUUCAACAUUUCACAAUUCUUUGAACUUUGAAAUUUUUGCAUGAAUUUUCCUCAUUGAAUCAAUGCAGCUGCUAAAAACCUCACUUUGCUUUUGAAUCCUAACUAAUAAUACAGGUUUUAUCAGAUUUCCUUUUGCAUUUAAAUAACCCUCAUGAUUCACUCAUAAUUUUCUAUGUAAGUGCUUAAGUGACCCCCUCACUAGUGAAAAGAAAUGUUCUAUAUCACUGAUUAUAUGUAUAUUCUCUACGUGAUAUAUUUUUUUAAGCAAAAGUAACCCCAUCCCAUGUGUCCAGAUGAACGAUAUUACCUAGGGCAAAGCACACAUGAAGUGAUUUAUUUCUACUCUGAAAAUCUGGCAUUUACGGGAACAAAACUCUUUUAGAGUGGCUGGUCAUUGUUUUACCUUCUUUUGGUACUUGAGCACCUUUCUGUGGUUUUUGUAAAUUAGUCUGUCAUUUUGUAAGAAUUUCAUGUUGAUUCUGUGUUCCUUGGUGUUCCCCUUGUGGUAUCCUCAGCUGAUCAUCAUAAUUUAAUUUGGGUAUGGUUGUGUGUCUGCUUUGAAAUGCCUUACUAGAGCAUGUCAGACUCUGCUCUGAAGCAUUCCGUGUAUCUGCUAGGACAGCAAGUUGCCUCUCUUGGAUGUAUGCUCUAGAUCCAGAAGCAAAACUGAUUUUGCUUUCACUGUUAAGGUUGCAUUUUAGUGCAGAUACUGUUUUAAAUUAGAGAAUAAAAUCAUGGAAAACCAAGGGGGGACUUUAGAACCCUUCAUCUAACGGCAUGGCAAACUUUUAAAACUGCUUUUGCUAUUUCACUAGAACAAUGCCUCUGGUAGAGGAUAGAGCUAAAAAAUGCCAGCCCAAACUGUAUGAAAUUGGGACUGUUUCCCACAGUUUUCUCUAAAUGUCAUACAGGGGUUUAACAUCUGUGUAUAUGUUUCCCAGUGACUACUGGGGAAAUCUGUGCUCUGAGGCUUCAUAAAUGACAAACGUGUCAUGAGGUUAAAACCAAUCAACUGUGAAUUGUGAAAUUGAAAUUGCUCUUUUGGUUUUAUUUUAUUCAGCAUAUUGAAUAGAGGAAUCUGAAAGUUAUUCAAAAUUUACACUGCUUAUGUUGAUGGCUCAUUUUGGCUGUGUAUCCUCACUUAUGUACUGAUUUCUGAUAAAGGCUUGACGUUAUUAUGACAGUCAUUUUGUGUUCAAUUUAAUAAAAAGUUUCUGAGUCUUGUCUGCAAA